rnacentral:lncRNA from 10 species
UUUUACAGAUGGGGAAACUGAGGUUAAGUGGUUUGCCCCCAGCCACUGAGGAAAUGAGUGUCUCAGCUGGCAUUAGAACUUGGUAGCUUGUUUAGAUCACCCAGGGGUGGUUGUUCCUGCCUAAAUCUGUUUUUCAAAGCACUUUGAUUCUUAAGGAUUCCUUUUUCCUUCUGGAAAACAACUCCUUACCAGCUGCACCAAGGAUGAGGAAUUUCUCCAAAGAUGGUUUGUCAGAAAGCAGUAGCUCCUGCCUUCAACCAGAGAGGUGCCAUAAAAAUAGAUGAAAGGCACUGUGGGCCUCCUGUCUGAAGGUGGUUGCAAGCUGGUUGAAACAGAUGCUCUGACUAAACACAAAGGGUAGGACAAGGCAGGACGGUCAAUUAGGCACCAAGUGAGUGGAAAAGACAAUGAAGUUCCAAGGAGCAGGUAGAAGGACAAGAUCACUGUGGCCGUAGGCCUCACAGAGGAAGGAAGGCUUGCGCUGGGCUGGAAGGAUGCACAAGAUUUGGCUGGGCCACAGAAAGAACUUGAGGAGAAGGGCCUGAACCCCAAGAUUCCACAAGAAUUAAGCUAGAAGUCAAAGUGUUAUGCAAGCCAGAAGUUUCCAAGAGUAUAAGCCAAAUUUCUUCAAUGAAGAUUUCCAAAUCAGAAUGUCAGCCUCUCUUGUAGAAGAAGAAAUAUUGAUUUGUGUUAACUUCAUCUGACAAAAAAUGUUACAAAGUGAGGGCCAGCAGUGCACACUGUAAAGAAACCAGAAGGGACAUGAAUCUAUUAGAACUAGAGCUUCAAUUUAUAAAAUGGAAAGAGGAACAUCAGAUAGAGAUGUUAUUAAAAUAAAAUUACAUUGUUUGGUGAAACAAAAAGUAUUCUAGGCGUGAGCCACAGGACC